UACGUAGGGAGCAAGCGUUGUUCGGAUUUACUGGGCGUAAAGGGCGCGUAGGCGGUCAGCACAAGUCAAUUGUGAAAUCUCCGAGCUUAACUCGGAAAGGUCAACUGAAACUGUGCGACUAGAGUGCGGAAGGGGCAACUGGAAUUCUUGGUGUAGCGGUGAAAUGCGUAGAUAUCAAGAGGAACACCUGCGGCGAAGGCGGGUUGCUGGGCCGACACUGACGCUGAAGCGCGAAAGCCUGGGGAGCGAACGGG
rnacentral:rRNA from 1 species